GGGCAGAUACCCAAGUGGCCAACGGGGGCAGACUGUAAAUCUGCUGGCUUUACGCCUUCGCUGGUUCGAAUCCAGCUCUGCCCA
rnacentral:tRNA from 2 species